rnacentral:snoRNA from 1 species
UUUGGGCGAAUGAUGAAUCUUAUUUGAUCAAAUGGGUAAUUUGCAUCUGAUCUUUUUCUGUGAUGCUAUCAACCUUGGAGAGCUGACGUUCUAG